rnacentral:lncRNA from 1 species
GGCUCACCUGGGGACUAACAACAACCUCUAGGGGCUUGCCAUCAAUUGACUGGCUUCAACUAAUUCCAUUCUUCUAGAAUGGAGAAUGAAUUCACUCACCCCUGAGUCACACCAAGUGGUGGCAUCCCAGCUAGCAUUCUGUUAGAAUAGGAGAAGGUGGGAGUGGGGGCUGCAUAAUACGGGCUGGGAAGGCAGUAUCCAUGGCUUCUUUCAUUUAUUUAUUUACAGGUUCCCUUUUUUGGAAUCAUCUUGUUUCAUGGCUUCUCUGCUCUUCAAGUCCCUACAGCUAGAGACUUCAACUCUCACGGCCCACAGCCAGAGGCCGGUAAACAUGGCGAAAGCAAAAGCUUUAUCGAACAUCCGUUCAGGAGCCCAGCCCUGUGGAUUCUGGGAGGAGAGGUGAGUCACUAUGGAAAAUAUGUGGGACUUCAAAGAGAGUCAAGAGUGUCUUGCCCACACCACAGUCAGUAACGCAGGAUCCAAGCCAUGUCUGCGACCGACGCCAUAGCUCAUGGCAAUGCUAGAUCCUUAACCCACUGAACAAGGCCAGGGAUCAAACCCACAUCCUCAUGGAUACUCUUCAGGCUCAUUAUUGCUCAGCCAGAGCGGGAACCUGCAAGAGUGUCUUAAGGAGGACUUGUUGUGUGACAUAUAAAUAUAUAUUAUACAUAUAUUUUGUGACAUAUAGAAUAUAUAUGUAAUAUACAUAUUAUACCCAAUUGAUGCAU